rnacentral:rRNA from 1 species
GACGGAGGAUGCAAGCGUUAUCCGGAAUGAUUGGGCGUAAAGCGUCCGCAGGUGGCAGUUCAAGUCUGCUGUCAAAGACCGGGGCUUAACUUCGGAAAGGCAGUGGAAACUACAUAGCUAGAGUAAGGUAGGGGUAGAGGGAAUUCCUGGUGUAGCGGUGAAAUGCGUAGAGAUCAGGAAGAACACCGGUGGCGAAAGCGCUCUGCUGGACCUUAACUGACACUGAGGGACGAAAGCUAGGGGAGCGAACAGG